rnacentral:rRNA from 1 species
GACGAACGCUGGCGGCGUGCCUAAUACAUGCAAGUAGAACGCUGAAGGAGGAGCUUGCUCUUCUGGAUGAGUUGCGAACGGGUGAGUAACGCGUAGGUAACCUGCCUGGUAGCGUGGGAUAACUAUUGGAAACGAUAGCUAAUACCGCAUAACAUUGACUAUUGCAUGAUAGUCAAUUAAAAGGUGCAAAUGCUCCACUACCACAUGGACCUGCGUUGUAUUAGCUAGUUGGUGGGGUAACGGCUCACCAAGGCGACGAUACAUAGCCGACCUGAGAGGGUGAUCGGCCACACUGGGACUGAGACAGGGCCCAGACGACUACGGGAGGCAGCAGGAGGGAAACUUCGGCAAUGGACGGAAGACUGACCGAGCAACGCCGCGGGAGGGAAGAAGGUUGUCGGAUCGUAAAGCUCUGUUGUAAGAGAAGAACGAGUGUGAGAGUGGAAAGUACACAGUGUGACGGUAUCUUACCAGAAAGGGACGGCUAACUACGUG